CCUACGGGAGGCAGCAGUGGCGAAUAUUGGACAAUGGGCGAAAGCCUGAUCCAGCCAUGCCGCGUGUGUGAAGAAGGCCUUCGGGUUGUAAAGCACUUUCAGUGGGGAAGAAAGCCUUGGGGCUAAUACCCUCGAGGAAGGACAUCACCCACAGAAGAAGCACCGGCUAACUCCGUGCCAGCAGCCGCGGUAAUACGGAGGGUGCGAGCGUUAAUCGGAAUUACUGGGCGUAAAGCGCGCGUAGGCGGUCUGAUAAGCCGGUUGUGAAAGCCCCGGGCUCAACCUGGGAACGGCAUCCGGAACUGUCAGGCUAGAGUGCAGGAGAGGAAGGUAGAAUUCCCGGUGUAGCGGUGAAAUGCGUAGAGAUCGGGAGGAAUACCAGUGGCGAAGGCGGCCUUCUGGACUGACACUGACGCUGAGGUGCGAAAGCGUGGGUAGCAAACAGGAUUAGAUACCCGGGUAGUC
rnacentral:rRNA from 1 species